AUAUACCACGCGUAAACGCCGGUUCCUGUGCGCCGUCCGCACCCACCUGACGACUGCUCGCUACGUUUUGUUAGCC
rnacentral:sRNA from 1 species